UUGCAGUCUACAAAUGAUUUGUAAUUAUGUUCCCUCACAUCACCGUCAGGUUUGAGGUACAUAACUGAGAUAAUUAUUUGAAUUUGUUUGGUGUUACAUUGACUAGCUAAUUAGAUCAGAUUACCAACAUAUUUCCCUCUUUUCCGCAGGUUAGAGACUUUGAUAAAUUCUCCAGGCAUAGGAUCCUGGGAGAGGUCAGAGUUCAUCUGUGCGAUAUGGAAAUCUCAUAUCCUCUUGAUGUCCUCGAGGACCUAUAGACACCACAGAAGGACCUGGUUGGAGAGGUGCUUCUCCUUCUGAAGUAUCUCCACACCCUCCAGAGGCUAGAGGUUGGUCUGCUGAAAAUCUGGGCACCGCCUCAGCCAAGUAAAAAAAAUAAAGCACUGUAUGCCAAGAUCAGUGUCCUCUGCAACCAGUUCAAGCUGCGGCAUCAGUAGUCCACUGUUAAGACCUGGUGGGAAGUGACCGUCUUCAACGAAGUCAUGAUGUUCACGCUGCCAGACCCACAGAUCAGGGAGUGCUGCAUUGUGGUCUCUGUGUACAAGAUCCAUGCAGCCAAGAAGUCAUCCAAACGCCAGGUUGGCCUGGUCACCUUUGGAAAGGGAAAGAGCUGAUGCGAUAAUUUCGUCAGCCAAUAGCAAAGUGGCAUCAGCUGUUAAGCUGAGGCUAGCCAGGCCAGUCCACCUACUUUGACUAUGUUCUUGUGAUGCACAGCAUAUUGGAAGUGUGUGGAGGACCGGGAUUACAAGGGAUUUUUCAAGCUAUUUCUCACAACUGAUAUCACUUCUCUGUGAAAUAUAGACUAUUAUAUUGAAAUUCUGUGGAUAAAUCAUAAAUUCCAGCUGCUCACUUGGUAUGAGCAGUGCCUGAUCACCUGUGAAUAAUAUAAGUAUUAUCAGUAGGCUACCUAUUUAACGUUGCACUGCACCCCCCCUUUUAGGAACACUAGAGGGCACUUACACUCAGUAGUUCAUUUCUUGAAGAAAUCUAUGGGCAAAGAGGUUGAGUAAAAACAUUUGCAUAUUUAUACAAUCUCAGCUCUGAAGUCGGACUCCCACGAGCAGUUUAGGCACUUUCAAGGUACUUCCAUUUCUUCUAGAAACCAUCAACAUACAUAUAGUACAAAUAAACAGAAUGUAAUCAAUUGUGCUGACAGUGGCGUCAUGGCCAUAGGGGGCACAAAGGCACAUGCUCCCUCAGAUUUGUCAUGUUUUUUUAUUUUAUUUUAGAUGUUAAAUUAAUUACUAAACUACAUUUUCAGCCCACGUUUUAUCAUAAUUAUUUAUAAAAAGAUCUGUCAUCUGUAUUUUGCGGAGGGGGCACACUUACUGGACCAGGCAAAGAAUAGCCCCCAUCCCCCCCAUUCUCCCUAGUAAGUUGUUCCUUCCAAGCUGCACGAGGCAAAGAGAUGCUUAGGCAGGAUGCUAGAUAGUGCGUGCAGUAUCGUCAGUGGAGGAGGAGACUCACUGGGCACAGACGUCAAUUCAACAUCUAUUCCACGUUGAUUCAAUGUAAUUUAAUUGAAAUGACGUUGAAACAACCAGUGUGUGCCCAGUGGAGAGAGAGUGUAGAGUGACACACACAGCAUUUGAUUUGAUUUUAGCUGCCGGUGUUGGGCAGGAGUAUGUUUGUAAAUUAAUUUGAUCAAGCUAUAUAGCCUAUUGAUGCC